GAUGAACGCUAGCGGCAGGCUUAAUACAUGCAAGUCGAGGGGCAACAGGGGUAGCAAUACCUGCUGGCGACCGGCAAACGGGUGCGGAACACGUACAGAACCUUCCUUUAAGCGGGGAUAGCCCAUAGAAAUGUGGAUUAAUACCCCACUAGUAAUGUUUAAUGGCAUCAUUAGAUAUUUAAAGAUUUAUCACUUAAAGAUGGCUGUGCGGCUGAUUAGGUAGUUGGUCGGGGUAACGGCCCACCAAGCCAACGAUCAGUAACUGGUGUGAGAGCACGACCAGUCACACGGGCACUGAGACACGGGCCC
rnacentral:rRNA from 1 species